AGAGGUUUUUUCCCUUAGAAAAUACUUAGCUUUUUCCUUGUUGGGUUGCUGAGACAUUACUGCGUUGUCAGAGUUGCUGUUUUUGAAUAGGAGGCCGAAUGACAGUGCAUACUGCUCGUAGUAUAUUGCAUUCGUCUACCUUUUUGUCCUUUCUGGAAUGCCGUGAUCAAAUUUGAUUAGAUAGAAAAGGGAGAGAGCAACAUUUCGUGUAUUUUGAAAUCGCACUAUAUGUCUGGUAAACGAUAGUUAUUUUUUCAUCUUUUGUGGAUCUUAACCCUGGAAGAGUGAGCUAGCUCCCUUUGCGCUCAAGAAGUCCUUGCUAUCGAGUCGCUGAACUUCUGAUACGAGUUGUGAACCAUGUAUAAUUCUCAUCCGUGCUUAGGGUACUUCUGGGUCUGCAUGAAAGAAGGUUGAGUUGAGGGGCGUGAUCACCUGGCUUAUGGAUAUUUCGAGGUUCUACGAGGUGGCAGUUGUUCAAGUGGAGGGCUACCAUAAGUUCGUCCACAAGGAGGCAGAAGCUGCGGCUUCAAUAUCAGCCACCAGGACCUGCUCCUUGACAUGGCCAAGAUCCACAACCACCUUCUCGGCCGGUUUGAAGAGUCUGAGCUGGCCAUCUGCGACAAGGAUAGGAUUCAAUGGAGAGAUCGGAAACCAAGUGGAGGCUGCGGCAUGCUAUGGAGCUGAAAGAAAGAGAAGUUGGAGUCUCUGAGGACAAAAAGUGAGGGAUUUGAUUAGAGCGAGGAAGAGCACAACCUUCUCAUGUGAUACAAGCCUCAUGGAGCAGCAGGAGAGGCAGGCCAUCGAAAAAGAUGUUACUGCUUCUUGUUACUGCUUCUUUGAUCAAAGGGUCCAUUUGGGAUGUUCAGCAAAGUCUCGAGACUGAAAUUUAUGGGUGGUCGAGAAGAGAAGAUGGAGAAUGUUGAUCUAUACAAUUGAAGUCUAUGAACUCAAGCAAGAAAACGAGUCGAAGCUUCGGGAGAGGACAAUAAGCAGGCUUUAUGUAGAUCUCUUACAUGUUCAGAAGUGAAGAAACAGAAUGUUCAUCACUGAUUUCUCUUUCGAAUUUGAGUUAGUCAUUGUUGAGAUAUUACCUUUGCAAAUUGGUUUUGAUAGAUUAAGUGCAUGUGCACUAUAUCUCAAGGACAAAGUCUAAGGGAGUUCUUUGAUUGAAAUAAGCUAUAAAUACACUAAUGCAGCUUAUUGAUGAAAAGAAUUGCCAAGUAAAAGAUAUAGUUAAUUGGAAUUAUAUAGCAUCUAACGAGUUAUUUUAG